GUGUCAUGUUCAUGUCUCUGCACCAUUCUUCUUCAUGGUCGCUCAUGUGUAGGCGUUACAAGAUAGAACUUGUGGCUCAUCAUAGAUGCAACACUUGGGGAUUUAAUCGUACCAGUACUCUUACAUCUCGUCUUUUAUGACCGAUAAAUUCGAAAUGAACAUAUACCGAGAAGCCAAAGUUGUUCCUUACAACACCGAUAUGGGGUUUAUUUUGAUCGAUGUCGAGUCUAUCCUCAGGAUCAAUCGUUAUACCUAGCUAAUCCAAUUUCACAUCAAUGCUUAGAAAUCAAUCGUCGUGCUCUCGAGCAUAAUUUUUUCUGUCCCUUGGGAAUAGUAACACAAACUAAAAACGGCGUCGUUUUGAGUUACAAAGUUGUUAUGUUUGAUGAAAGGCAAAAAAGAUCCAUAAUAACGAAAAUAAGUUUUCAGUCCAGAUAUAUUCGUCCGAGACACGGUUGUCGAGUCUCAACACUAUCCAUUUUCUUUUCUCUUUUUCGUUCAAUCGUGAUUUUUACCAUCCCAUUAG